UAUGAUCAUGCCACUGCAGUCUGGGCAACAGCAUAAAACCCUGUCUCAGAAAAAAAAAAUUCUCAAGGGAGUUGAGGAAUGUCUGCUGGGCUGCCAAGGAAGUGGCAAUAGAGGAAGCAGUAUCUGCCAUGCUCAGGAACAGAUUUCUUAUCUGUUUUUCCCGAGCACUGACUCAUAUGUGUGGUACCAAAAAUCUCAAAAAGAACAUGAACCAGGAUCACUUAUACUUCCUGACAAUCGUCUAGUAUGCCUGGUGUAUGACUUCAGGCUGUUGGCCCACUGGUGUGACUCAUUUCCAAGGGUCAUAUAUACGGACACCCCAGCAUGCCCAGUGUGCAGUAUCCCACCGUUCAUCAGCUUUUCAAGUACAACACUGACCACACCAUAUUUGGGUCACCCUGGACUGCUCACAGAGAAAAAUGUAGUCCUCAGGUGCACAUAGCAUCCCUUCCCCCAUUUUAUUGUUCAGUAACCCAUUCACAUGUGUAAGGGCAUUAGCCUUUGUCAGCAAAGUCUCAAAUUAGUUAUAUGAACUUGGUUUCCCCUAUUCAAUAUUGUUCAUGAAGUCCCUACCUGGAAAGCUAACAGUAGUUCAAUUCUUGUUUCCAUUGCCAACACUGGGAUGCUUCUCAUCCAAGUAAAGGAACAUAAUGGGUCACAACUACCAGCCCACCGAAGUUGUUAGUUGUCAUGAUGUUUUGCCACCUUCGGCCAAUUAAGUCUCCCUUCCUCCCCUGUGGCAGGUGCUAAAUCCUCACUCAGUAAGCCACAGCUGAGGCUCUGUUGAUACUCACUGCACCACUAUAAUACUGGUAGAGUUUACUAGUGGCAGGAUGAGAAGGUUGCUGUAGUCUGUGACAGAAUAGGGUCUGGGAUGGCAGAUCCAGUACUUUACUUUGGUGGCCACAGCUUGGGAGAGCCCAACAAAGGCAUUAUGCUUCCAAGCCUCUACUUUCACAUCCUUGUGGAAAAAGCAGACUGACAGGUUAUUGACCCACACCUUA